AUUGAACGCUGGCGGCAGGCCUAACACAUGCAAGUCGAGCGAGCGGCGGACGGGUGAGUAAUGUCUGGGAAACUGCCUGAGGGAGGGGGAUAACUACUGGAAACGGUAGCUAAUACCGCAUACCAUCAGAUGUGCCCCGAUGGGAUUAGCUAGUAGGUGGGGUAAUGGCUCACCUAGGCGACGAUCCCUAGCUGGUCUGAGAGGAUGACCAGCCACACUGGAACUGAGACACGGUCCAGACUCCUACGGGAGGCAGCAGUGGGGAAUAUUGCACAAUGGGCGCAAGCCUGAUGCAGCCAUGCCGCGUGUGUGAAGAAGGCCUUCGGGUUGUAAAGCACUUUCAGCUGGGAGGCGUUACUCGCAGAAGAAGCACCGGCUAACUCCGUGCCAGCAGCCGCGGUAAUAC
rnacentral:rRNA from 1 species